CCUACGGGUGGCAGCAGUGAGGAAUAUUGGUCAAUGGACGCAAGUCUGAACCAGCCAUGCCGCGUGCAGGAAGACGGCUCUAUGAGUUGUAAACUGCUUUUGUACGGGGGUAAACGCAGGUACGCGUAUCUGUCUGAGAGUAUCGUACGAAUAAGGAUCGGCUAACUCCGUGCCAGCAGCCGCGGUAAUACGGAGGAUUCAAGCGUUAUCCGGAUUUAUUGGGUUUAAAGGGUGCGUAGGCGGGCGGAUAAGUUAGAGGUGAAAGCCCGAGGCUCAACUUCGGAAGUGCCUCUGAUACUGUCCGGCUAGAGAGUAGGUGCGGUAGGCGGAAUGCAUAGUGUAGCGGUGAAAUGCUUAGAUAUCAUACAGAACACCGAUUGCGAAGGCAGCAUACCGGGCUACUUCUGACGUUGAGGCACGAAAGCGUGGGGAGCAAACAGGAUUAGAUACCCCGGUAGUC
rnacentral:rRNA from 1 species